CAGCCAAGUUAGGUGGUCUUCACCAAGUCACUAAGCAGGUACAUAUAUGCUAGGUAUCCAAACGGUUGUAUAAUUGUAGUUGGUCUAAUUCUCUAUGAAAUUGUCCUUCUUUGUGUAAAGUGAAAUCUUCCCAGUUUUAUGAAUAACAAAUGUUUCAUUUCUUGCAAAAAUGGGAUUAAACUGAAGUCCUGUUUUUUUUCAAUCAAUUUGAGAAGCAAAAACAAACCCAUGACCAAUGGAAUUUUAGGGGGCAAAGAUAGAACAUAUGUGGUUGAAGGAGACAUGCUUGGAGAGCAGUAUGGUGCAGUCUCUGUCUGUGGCUCUACAAAUCUAUGUGAUGUGAACUGGUUAGACCAUAUGAAAAAUUCCAAACAGUAGGAGAUGUUGGUUAUGUUUUUGCUUGGCCUUGCUCACAUGUAAGUAUGUUUCCAUACAAGCAUCGAGUGUGCUCCAAUAUCCACGUUUAAGAUACUGUAGUUAUCAAAAUCUUUGUGGCUUUUAGGUACAAAAAACUAUGCCAACCAUUCAAACAAAGCAUUUGUAUGAUACACUUCUUAUAAUUUAUCAAAGAACAUCUUAUCUUGCACUUGCCUAAAACAUUGUUCAUUUUCAUUUUCAGGGUGGUUGAGGAUUUGAAAAGAGAGUGCAUUAAGGGAGCCAGGAGUAAUUGGGUAGUUGAGGAUUUGAAAAGGGAGUGCACUGAAGGAGCUAGGAUCAGUUGAUGAACCAGUCUGUGAAUAAACAAGUAUUGUGGCUUAUGUUAUAUUUUAGCUUAAUUGAGAACCAUAGUUCUAGACUAUAGGAUAUUUUCUUAUUUAUUUGCAUGUUCUGUAUGAAUAUCUGUUAAUAUUCAAUUGUGAAAUUCGGUGUAAGUAUCUAUUCGGGCUGAUUAUUCUACUCAGCUUGCCUUUUUUUAGGGGAACUCAGCUUGUCAAUUUUGAUAACGUGAAGUUUGCAAAUGCAAUCUAUGGCGUGGAAUCGUG
rnacentral:lncRNA from 1 species